rnacentral:rRNA from 1 species
AGAUUGAACGCUGGCGGCAUGCUUUACACAUGCAAGUCGAGCGGCAGCGCGGGGGCAACCCUGGCGGCGAGCGGCGAACAGGUGAGGAACACAUCGGAACGUGCCCCGGAGUGGGGGAUAACGCCGCGAAAGCGGCGCUAAUACCGCAUAUGCUCUGAGGAGGAAAGCGGGGGACCUGUGAGGGCCUCGCGCUCUGGGAGCGGCCGAUGUCCGAUUAGCUAGUUGGUGGGUAAUGGCUCACCAAGGCGACGAUCGGUAGCUGGUCUGAGAGGAUGAUCAGCCACACUGGGACUGAGACACGGCCCAGACUCCUACGGGAGGCAGCAGUGGGAAUUUUGGACAAGUGGGGGCAACCCUGAUCCAGCCAUGCCGCGUGCGGAAGAGCUCGGUGUAACGCUUUAGUGGAAGAAAGUAUACCUAAGUAAGAUGACUGUGAGUACGGCGGAAUAAGACACCGACUAACUACGUAGCCUAGCACGCCGACG